AUUUAUGUAGUUUAAAAAAAACAUUACAUUUUCAUUGUAAAAAUAAAAAAAUUUUUUCUUCAUAAAUA
rnacentral:tRNA from 1 species